UAGGGAAUAUUGGACAAUGGGCGAAAGCCUGAUCCAGCCAUCCCGCGUGAAGGAUGAAGGCCCUUUGGGUUGUAAACUUCUUUUGUCAGGGAAGAAACCCUCGAAUUCACUUCGAGGCUGACGGUACCUGAAGAAUAAGCACCGGCUAACUCCGUGCCAGCAGCCGCGGUAAUACGGAGGGUGCAAGCGUUAUCCGGAUUUACUGGGUCUAAAGGGUGCGUAGGCGGGUUUGUAAGUCAGCGGUGAAAGCCUGGAGCUUAACUCCGGAAUUGCCAUUGAUACUGCUUAUCUUGAGUACAGUUGAGGCGGGCGGAAUACAUCAUGUAGUAGUGAAAUACUUAGAUAUGAUGUAGAACACCGAUUGCGAAGGCAGCUCGCUAAACUGUAACUGACGCUGAGGCACGAAAGCGUGGGGAUCGAACAGG
rnacentral:rRNA from 1 species